rnacentral:rRNA from 1 species
UACGGGGGGGACUAACGUUAUUCAUCAUAACUGGGCGUAAAGGGUACGUAGGCUGUUUAUUAAGUCUUAACUAAAUAAUCUAACCGUAAUUUAGAAAUUAGUUUUUAUACUGAUAAUGAUUUAUAAUAAAUAAAAGUGUGUUUUAACAUACAUUUUUAUUUUUAUCUUACUAGAGGUUAAUAUAGGAAAGUUAUAUUCUUAAAGGAAAAGUGAAAUUUUUAGAUAUUAAGAAGAUAACCAAUAUGCGAAGGCAACUUUCCAGAUUGACACUGACGCUGAGGUACGAAGGCAUGGGUAGCAAACGGG